rnacentral:lncRNA from 1 species
ACAAAACAUUCACUAUUGACCACAUCAUCCCACAGUUUGACUGCCAAAUUCUUCUUCUCCAACCGCAAAAUCAGUACUAAGACCAAUAAUAUUUUGGAUACAUAGAUUAAUCUUGAAAAAUAGGUCAAAGGCACAGUGAAUAAAGCAGCACAUUUUCAAUAAAAAGCCGAACCUGGAAGAUGAUGGUGUGUAAUCUUGGCUGCUUGGUUGGGCAUUGCUGCUACCGUCAUGGACAUCUUUGAAUGGUGAUGAUGAAGAAGACGACGAAGCUGACGGAGACUGUGAAAGCCCAACCUUUUCCUUGAAGUCUUUAAGGAGUGAUACCCAUUUCAUCGUUUUCCUUCCACUCGAAUUCACAAACGUGUACGUAUACAAGUCUUAACUAAAAUUAAUAUAUAUAUUGAAAAAAAAACAAACAAAAAGAAAUGCUCUCUCAUCCGACAACCAAAACGACCACAAUUUUCUCCCCUCCAGCAAUCAGAUCCAAAUCCAAACGCUUCUAGACUACCCUAGAAGGAUCCCCAGCUCAUUUCCCCAAUUUCCCUUUUCAAAAUCUAUAAUUAUUUUCACAAAAAAGAAAAAAAGGAAAGAAAUCAAGACGAGUAACAAAAAGAAACGGAAGUGAUCGAUCGGAGUGGAAAUUGCGAAGAAGAGGAGCAAGAUCUGAAAAUAUAUACACACACACACGUAUAUAUGUAUAAAUAUUUGUAUGUGUAUAUAUAUUAAUAUUCGAAAAUUAUCGAUAUGAGUUUAUUUCCUCCCUUGAUCUGGAUAUGCUGCUAAUUUCUUUCUGUUCGGGGAUUUUUCGGGCUUAAAUUUAUGAAUUUAAAUAUUUUUCCACUAAUUUUCCUUAAUUAGAUUCUAAAGAUUGUGGCCUAGAAAAUGCUAGUGUACGUAUAUAAUGAAUUAAAUAUAGAU